rnacentral:rRNA from 1 species
ACGCACGCUGGCGGCGUGCUUAACACAUGCAAGUCGAACGGAAAGGCCCUGCUUUUGUGGGGUGCUCGAGUGGCGAACGGGUGAGUAACACGUGAGUAACCUGCCCUUGACUUUGGGAUAACUUCAGGAAACUGGGGCUAAUACCGGAUAGGAGCUCCUGCUGCAUGGUGGAGGUUGGAAAGUUUCGGCGGUUGGGGAUGGACUCGCGGCUUAUCAGCUUGUUGGUGGGGUAGUGGCUUACCAAGGCUUUGACGGGUAGCCGGCCUGAGAGGGUGACCGGCCACAUUGGGACUGAGAUACGGCCCAGACGCCUACGGGAGGCAGCAGUGGGGAAUAUUGCACAAUGGGCGGAAGCCUGAUGCAGCAACGCCGCGUGCGGGAUGACGGCCUUCGGGUUGUAAACCGCUUUCGCCUGUGACGAAGCGUGAGUGACGGUAAUGGGUAAAGAAGCACCGGCUAACUACGUG